CCUUGCUCUCAUAAGUAGCUAACAGGAAACAUUGAAAUAGUUUUGCAUAGCUCACCUAUUAAACUAUAAUAACUUCAGUGAUAAUUUGAGCUUGUAAUAGAGGAUUUUUUUUUUGAAUAUCUGCUGUACUCGCCUCUGUUUCUUCAGUCAUUGUGAGUAAGCAUUGAUGCCCUGUAUGUCUUUCAUCUCUGAGGUUGUGCUCUGAGAUAGAAUACGUAAGCUUCCCACUUUACAGCUUUCAAAUAGUUUAUUCAGCUUGUCUAUUCAUUUCAGUUAAAUCCUUUUGAAACAACUCAAUUUCUGACCAUAAAAUCUCAAUAUUUUCUAACAUCAAAAUGAAAAAAAGCUUUUUAGAAGUUAUUUACAUUCUUUUUUUCUUUACAGGAAGUUGAAUAUCCUAAUUCCGAUUUCAGAGAGGAAUAAUAUUUUCAAUGGAAAAAUGCAAUGUACAGCCAACACGGAGUUUUCCAAAAUGUGAAGUUUGCCUGCUAGAAAAUGGAAUGACAACAGAUUUGUUUUUCUUUCUCUUGUGAGACAAAAGAUUUCCAGGAAGAACAGAUACAGAAAAUUGCUAUUGUGGACUCAACUGGAGUGUAUCCUUAAAAUACUGAUAAGAAUGAAGAAUCCGGAGCUCCAAACCUAAUCCUUCUCUGUAGUCUCAUGUUUUACGAGUCCUAGAAAGCCGCCAUAGACUAACUACAUGGCUAUUCCUCAAGAAGAAAAUUCUCUGCAGGGUGAAAUUAGGAGCAUCUCAACUGCAGUUGGGUUCUCAGUUCAGCUCUUCCUGGUGUAGAAAAAUAGUGGUGGCCUACAAAGGACUCAAAGGACUCACAAGGGAGGAUCCGAGGUGAGAGUUAAAUGGAGUCUUUGGGGCUCUAUUGUGGAUGUGAGGGUGGGUCUCCCUGGAAGAUAGAGAGGCCUGGAUGCUACACUUUCUGGUAUCACUGUCACUCCAUUAAAUUUUGGUUCUGAAUUUUACAGCUGUAUAAAGAUUAUGUCAGAACACACAAAUAAAAAUGGAAUCAACUCUUUGUACAUGUAGUAAACAUACCAGUUUCAUUCAAGGUACAUUUUGACUUCUUUGUUCAGGGCAAGAUACAAAUAUCUUAAGACUUCUGGAGCACAUAUAUCCAAUGCAUAACAAGAUACAUUAAAAAAUUAGAUAUGUGUAUCUCUAUAUAUAAUCUAUUAUGUGUUUAUGUACUUAUGUAUAUAUGUGUGUGUAUAUAUAUAGUUAAUGAG